AACCUGCCUUGGAGAGGGGAAUAACACAGUGAAAAUUGUGCUAAUACCGCAUGAAGCAGUUGAGUCGCAUGGCUCUGACUGCCAAAGAUUUAUCGCUCUGAGAUGGCCUCGCGUCUGAUUAGCUAGUUGGUGGGGCAACGGCCCACCAAGGCGACGAUCAGUAGCCGGACUGAGAGGUUGACCGGCCACAUUGGGACUGAGACACGGCCCAGACUCCUACGGGAGGCAGCAG
rnacentral:rRNA from 1 species